ACGAACGCUGGCGGCGUGCCUAAUACAUGCAAGUAGAACGCUGAAGAGAGGAGCUUGCUCUUCUUGGAUGAGUUGCGAACGGGUGAGUAACGCGUAGGUAACCUGCCUUGUAGCGGGGGAUAACUAUUGGAAACGAUAGCUAAUACCGCAUAACAAUGGAUGACACAUGUCAUUUAUUUGAAAGGGGCAAUUGCUCCACUACAAGAUGGACCUGCGUUGUAUUAGCUAGUAGGUGAGGUAAUGGCUCACCUAGGCGACGAUACAUAGCCGACCUGAGAGGGUGAUCGGCCACACUGGGACUGAGACACGGCCCAGACUCCUACGGGAGGCAGCAGUAGGGAAUCUUCGGCAAUGGGGGCAACCCUGACCGAGCAACGCCGCGUGAGUGAAGAAGGUUUUCGGAUCGUAAAGCUCUGUUGUAAGUCAAGAACGGGUGUGAGAGUGGAAAGUUCACACUAUGACGGUAGCUUACCAGAAAGGGACGGCUAACUACGUGCCAGCAGCCGCGGUAAUACGUAGGUCCCGAGCGUUGUCCGGAUUUAUUGGGCGUAAAGCGAGCGCAGGCGGUUUGAUAAGUCUGAAGUUAAAGGCUGUGGCUCAACCAUAGUUCGCUUUGGAAACUGUCAAACUUGAGUGCAGAAGGGGAGAGUGGAAUUCCAUGUGUAGCGGUGAAAUGCGUAGAUAUAUGGAGGAACACCGGUGGCGAAAGCGGCUCUCUGGUCUGUAACUGACGCUGAGGCUCGAAAGCGUGGGGAGCGAACAGGAUUAGAUACCCUGGUAGUCCACGCCGUAAACGAUGAGUGCUAGGUGUUGGAUCCUUUCCGGGAUUCAGUGCCGCAGCUAACGCAUUAAGCACUCCGCCUGGGGAGUACGACCGCAAGGUUGAAACUCAAAGGAAUUGACGGGGGCCCGCACAAGCGGUGGAGAAUGUGGUUUAAUUCGAAGCAACGCGAAGAACCUUACCAGGUCUUGACAUCCCGAUGCUAUUUCUAGAGAUAGAAAGUUACUUCGGUACAUCGGUGACAGGUGGUGCAUGGUUGUCGUCAGCUCGUGUCGUGAGAUGUUGGGUUAAGUCCCGCAACGAGCGCAACCCCUAUUGUUAGUUGCCAUCAUUCAGUUGGGCACUCUAGCGAGACUGCCGGUAAUAAACCGGAGGAAGGUGGGGAUGACGUCAAAUCAUCAUGCCCCUUAUGACCUGGGCUACACACGUGCUACAAUGGUUGGUACAACGAGUUGCGAGUCGGUGACGGCGAGCUAAUCUCUUAAAGCCAAUCUCAGUUCGGAUUGUAGGCUGCAACUCGCCUACAUGAAGUCGGAAUCGCUAGUAAUCGCGGAUCAGCACGCCGCGGUGAAUACGUUCCCGGGCCUUGUACACACCGCCCGUCACACCACGAGAGUUUGUAACACCCGAAGUCGGUGAGGUAACCUUUUGGAGCCAGCCGCCUAAGGUGGGACAGAUGAUUGGGGUG
rnacentral:rRNA from 1 species